UUAAGUUAUUAAGGGCGCACGGUGGAUGCCUUGGCACUAGAAGCCGAUGAAGGACGUUACUAACGACGAUAUGCUUUGGGGAGCUGUAAGUAAGCUUUGAUCCAGAGAUUUCCGAAUGGGGAAACCCAGCAUGAGUUAUGUCAUGUUAUCGAUAUGUGAAUACAUAGCAUAUCAGAAGGCACACCCGGAGAACUGAAACAUCUUAGUACCCGGAGGAAGAGAAAGAAAAUUCGAUUCCCUUAGUAGCGGCGAGCGAAACGGGAAGAGCCCAAACCAACAAGCUUGCUUGUUGGGGUUGUAGGACACUCUAUACGGAGUUACAAAGGACGACAUUAGACGAAUCAUCUGGAAAGAUGAAUCAAAGAAGGUAAUAAUCCUGUAGUCGAAAAUGUUGUCUCUCUUGAGUGGAUCCUGAGUACGACGGAGCACGUGAAAUUCCGUCGGAAUCUGGGAGGACCAUCUCCUAAGGCUAAAUACUCUCUAGUGACCGAUAGUGAACCAGUACCGUGAGGGAAAGGUGAAAAGCACCCCGGAAGGGGAGUGAAAUAGAACCUGAAACCGUGUGCUUACAAGUAGUCAGAGCCCGUUAAUGGGUGAUGGCGUGCCUUUUGUAGAAUGAACCGGCGAGUUACGAUUUGAUGCAAGGUUAAGCAGUAAAUGUGGAGCCGUAGCGAAAGCGAGUCUGAAUAGGGCGUUUAGUAUUUGGUCGUAGACCCGAAACCAGGUGAUCUACCCUUGGUCAGGUUGAAGUUCAGGUAACACUGAAUGGAGGACCGAACCGACUUACGUUGAAAAGUGAGCGGAUGAACUGAGGGUAGCGGAGAAAUUCCAAUCGAACCUGGAGAUAGCUGGUUCUCUCCGAAAUAGCUUUAGGGCUAGCCUCAAGUGAUGAUUAUUGGAGGUAGAGCACUGUUUGGACGAGGGGCCCCUCUCGGGUUACCGAAUUCAGACAAACUCCGAAUGCCAAUUAAUUUAACUUGGGAGUCAGAACAUGGGUGAUAAGGUCCGUGUUCGAAAGGGAAACAGCCCAGACCACCAGCUAAGGUCCCAAAAUAUAUGUUAAGUGGAAAAGGAUGUGGCGUUGCCCAGACAACUAGGAUGUUGGCUUAGAAGCAGCCAUCAUUUAAAGAGUGCGUAAUAGCUCACUAGUCGAGUGACACUGCGCCGAAAAUGUACCGGGGCUAAACAUAUUACCGAAGCUGUGGAUUGUCCUUUGGACAAUGGUAGGAGAGCGUUCUAAGGGCGUUGAAGCAUGAUCGUAAGGACAUGUGGAGCGCUUAGAAGUGAGAAUGCCGGUGUGAGUAGCGAAAGACGGGUGAGAAUCCCGUCCACCGAUUGACUAAGGUUUCCAGAGGAAGGCUCGUCCGCUCUGGGUUAGUCGGGUCCUAAGCUGAGGCCGACAGGCGUAGGCGAUGGAUAACAGGUUGAUAUUCCUGUACCACCUAUAAUCGUUUUAAUCGAUGGGGGGACGCAGUAGGAUAGGCGAAGCGUGCGAUUGGAUUGCACGUCUAAGCAGUAAGGCUGAGUAUUAGGCAAAUCCGGUACUCGUUAAGGCUGAGCUGUGAUGGGGAGAAGACAUUGNNNNNNNNNGUCUUCGAGUCGUUGAUUUCACACUGCCGAGAAAAGCCUCUAGAUAGAAAAUAGGUGCCCGUACCGCAAACCGACACAGGUAGUCAAGAUGAGAAUUCUAAGGUGAGCGAGCGAACUCUCGUUAAGGAACUCGGCAAAAUGACCCCGUAACUUCGGGAGAAGGGGUGCUCUUUAGGGUUAACGCCCAGAAGAGCCGCAGUGAAUAGGCCCAAGCGACUGUUUAUCAAAAACACAGGUCUCUGCUAAACCGUAAGGUGAUGUAUAGGGGCUGACGCCUGCCCGGUGCUGGAAGGUUAAGAGGAGUGGUUAGCUUCUGCGAAGCUACGAAUCGAAGCCCCAGUAAACGGCGGCCGUAACUAUAACGGUCCUAAGGUAGCGAAAUUCCUUGUCGGGUAAGUUCCGACCCGCACGAAAGGCGUAACGAUUUGGGCACUGUCUCAACGAGAGACUCGGUGAAAUCAUAGUACCUGUGAAGAUGCAGGUUACCCGCGACAGGACGGAAAGACCCCGUGGAGCUUUACUGUAGCCUGAUAUUGAAAUUCGGCACAGCUUGUACAGGAUAGGUAGGAGCCUUUGAAACGUGAGCGCUAGCUUACGUGGAGGCGCUGGUGGGAUACUACCCUAGCUGUGUUGGCUUUCUAACCCGCACCACUUAUCGUGGUGGGAGACAGUGUCAGGCGGGCAGUUUGACUGGGGCGGUCGCCUCCUAAAAGGUAACGGAGGCGCUCAAAGGUUCCCUCAGAAUGGUUGGAAAUCAUUCAUAGAGUGUAAAGGCAUAAGGGAGCUUGACUGCGAGACCUACAAGUCGAGCAGGGUCGAAAGACGGACUUAGUGAUCCGGUGGUUCCGCAUGGAAGGGCCAUCGCUCAACGGAUAAAAGCUACCCCGGGGAUAACAGGCUUAUCUCCCCCAAGAGUUCACAUCGACGGGGAGGUUUGGCACCUCGAUGUCGGCUCAUCGCAUCCUGGGGCUGUAGUCGGUCCCAAGGGUUGGGCUGUUCGCCCAUUAAAGCGGUACGCGAGCUGGGUUCAGAACGUCGUGAGACAGUUCGGUCCCUAUCCGUCGUGGGCGUAGGAAAUUUGAGAGGAGCUGUCCUUAGUACGAGAGGACCGGGAUGGACAUACCUCUGGUGUACCAGUUGUCGUGCCAACGGCAUAGCUGGGUAGCUAUGUGUGGACGGGAUAAGUGCUGAAAGCAUCUAAGCAUGAAGCCCCCCUCAAGAUGAGAUUUCCCAACUUCGGUUAUAAGAUCCCUCAAAGAUGAUGAGGUUAAUAGGUUCGAGGUGGAAGCAUGGUGACAUGUGGAGCUGACGAAUACUAAUCGAUCGAAGACUUAAUCAA
rnacentral:rRNA from 1 species